AACGAACGCUGGCGGCAGGCCUAACACAUGCAAGUCGAACGCCCUAGCAAUAGGGAGUGGCGCACGGGUGCGUAACGCGUGGGAAUAUGCCCUUGACUGCGGGACAACGUUUGGAAACGAACGCUAAUACCGCAUAAUGACUCCGGUCCAAAGAUUUAUCGGUCAAGGAUUUGCCCGCGUCUGAUUAGCUAGUUGGUGAGGUAACGGCUCACCAUGGCGACGAUCAGUAGCUGGUCUGAGAGGAUGAUCAGCCACACUGGGAUUGAGACACGGCCCAGACUCCUACGGGAGGCAGCAGUGAGGAAUAUUGGACAAUGGGCGCAAGCCUGAUCCAGCCAUGCCGCGUGAGUGACGAAGGCCUUCGGGUUGUAAAGCUCUUUCAGAUGCGAAGAUAAUGACGGUAACAUCAGAAGAAGCCCCGGCUAAAUUCGUGCCAGCCGCCGCGGUAA
rnacentral:rRNA from 1 species